CCUACGGGUGGCAGCAGUGAGGAAUAUUGGUCAAUGGGCGGGAGCCUGAACCAGCCAAGCCGCGUGAGGGAAGAAGGUACAGCGUAUCGUAAACCUCUUUUGUCAGGGAACAAAGGCUGGGACUAGUCCCCGGAUGAGGGUACCUGAAGAAAAAGCAUCGGCAAACUCCGUGCCAGCAGCCGCGGUAAUACGGAGGAUGCGGGCGUGAUCCGGAUUGAUUGGGUUAAAGGGGUGCGCAGGCGGCUGGUUAAGUCAGCGGGAAAAGCCAGGGGUUCAACCCCGGCGAGCCGUUGAAACUGGCGGGCUGGAGUUGGAGAGAAGUACACGGAAUGCGCGGUGUAGCGGUGAAAUGCUUAGAUAUCGCGCAGAACCCCGAUUGCGAAGGCAGCGUACCGGCUCCACACUGACGCUGAGGCACGAAAGCGUGGGUAUCGAACAGGAUUAGAUACCCCAGUAGUC
rnacentral:rRNA from 1 species